AUGCCUGGAAUCGAGUUGGGGCUGGGAAAUCCUGGAGCGGAGGAUUGGUUUGGUCACCUUGGACUACUCAGCGGUUCAGCAGGUGGGGUGAGGUGCACAGGGAUUCUGCCACGAAGGAUCCCAGCCCAGAUAGAGCAGCCUGCACAUCCAUGUGUCCCCGUCGGUUCUCCUUCUAGGCCCAGUCCACGUGGCCACCUGAGUCUCGGGAGGGACUGUCCUAUUAAUAAAGAAAUCCUUCUGCUGUGCUGUUUUGGGCACUUGGAUAAACCACUCUUCUGUUACUGGACAAAGCACAAUGAAAAGAGAGAAACUUACCCAAGGUUCCACUGAAAAGUACAUUUCAGGUAAGCAUUUUGUAAAUGUGGAUGGCUGACUCCAGUCUCUGGGCAACCCUUGGUUCUGAGCAUCACAGAUGGUGGCUCUGCUGAUUCUCAAAGCCUCUGAGUCAAGGAUGGGAUUCUCCCAUGUAGUCACCAAGGGGGGCUUCUGAGAUUGAAACUCCUAUAAAACCAUGUCAGUGGACAUCUAACCAGUAUCAUAAAAGAUUGAGAUUUCAUCCCCAAAUGGGGAUUUCUUUUCAUGUGAGUCUGGAAUGACUUCACCACCGAAGGCGAGUGACAACUGAGAACUGCCAGAAAAACCAUCCUAUUUCUGAACUACAUAGUGUGGCUUUUCAUGUCUACUUUCUAAACCCUAUGUGGUGUUUCAGUUCCAGAUUCCUGCUUGAGAAUUUCCUUGCCUGCUCUUGGUCCAGUAGACCUGGAGUAGGUGGGCUCCAGCCAGAAGCGCUCUGCAGAGGCCACGCUUUCUCCCAAACGCCCUUCCUUGAGGUUUAUGAGUGUGCCUGACAGAGGCUGUGUUCAUGGGUGAGGGUGAUCAGUGGCUUCUGAGACAGUGGUGAGCAAAGUGGCUGGUAUCAACACUAAAGAGUGACGGUUAUUCAGAGAGCUGGGCCAUCAAGGGGCUGCUGGGGUUUUGUUUUUGUUUUUAAAUAGUGAUCUGAGACCCCAAGGAUGUUUUCUUCUUCUUGACUUCUAGUGUAAUUCAGUCUACUGGGUGGAGCCACCACUUUCAAUAGCUGUCUUUCACUGUCGUUUGCAUUAAAAAAAAAAAAAUACUGCAACCCCAAAGCCUCAGUAAAAUUGGGAACCUGUUUAAAAUAAGAAAGCUAUUUAUAGAAGCCAUACCUAAAUAUGGCUGCAAGCAUACCUGCAGCCAUACAUAUUCUCUAGCCGCAUAGUGCACAGCAAACCUGAGCUCACACAGCAAAGGAACAAAGGACAAGAGUCCAUUCAACACAGAAAAUAAAUAUGCUGCAGAAGCGGGGUGUGACCGGGGGUCGGGGGGCAGUUCUCUGAACACAGCAAAGGUCUUUUUGCACAGCUGCAGUCACCUUUUGUUGUGGUGCCACUAGGGGCCCACGCUCUCCUGCAGGAGUGGCUCUGGGUUGGCUUCAGAAGAGCCAAGUGAUUUUUUAAGCUACAGUUGGGCUGAGUGACGGAGGUUCAGAAUCAGCCUCAGAUGGAAUGUUCCAGGCCUUUCGCAGGAAACACAUCAGCUACUCUCGAAACGCUGGUUCUAGCUGCAGGUGACAGUGGUGAUACCAGCAGAAGGCCAUCAGCUUGGCCAGUCUCCACGGUAUCCUGGGAAAGCUAAGCACUCAAACCAAGAUCCCAGACUGCUCUGGGUUCUUUUGUUAGUUUCUCUCAUGUGGUGGACUAGCUACACCUGAUUAUCCAAGAGGGUGGGUGGCUUUAAAGACAGGGUAAUUUGCCCUGGAACAACCUUUAGGCUGUGUGGCACCCUGUGAGGACAAGCACGAGGCUAGGAAGUCUCUGGGGGCCUGGCUAUUUCCGUUUUGGUGCUGAGCACUGUCAGGACCUUGCUCGAGGAGAUGCUAGAGACGUGGCUUUCUGCCACAGGCGGCUGCUCCCAGGAAAGACAGCACAAGAGGUCCAGCUUUUCUCUGCGCUAAUCUCUCUGGAAGGUUCUGUUCGCCAUGUCCCAAACCCCACUUAAAGUGACUGGGAGUGCCUAAGUCUCCUGUUUAAAUCAAAGCUCUAAAUCCAUCGCCAAAGUCAUUUCCUCCUGCCCCUGCCCCACGAGUCCUCUCUGCUGGUGCAUGGUGGGUGUGGGGUCUGAGCUGAACUUGGCCUGGGGUUCCUGACCCAUUCUCCAGCUCUCAGAACUGGUCAGACCAGGCUUGUGAACCACGAGAUAAAGCUUCGAGGUGGUGUGGCUUGCCUUAGUCACCAGGCUAGCUGGAGGGCUGGCUGGGCCCAACACUCAGACCCACAGUCACCCUGCCCGGCGCCCUCUCCCUUGUCCCCAGCCAAGGUGGGCUGCUUUGUCAGAUGUUCUACUCACUGUGAAAAGUACCUGGGACCUGACUGCCCUGUGAACAGGGCACAAAAAGGCCGUCAAAGGUGAGCCCUCUGUGGUGGGAGAAGAGGGCCACA
rnacentral:lncRNA from 1 species